rnacentral:lncRNA from 1 species
AGCAAAAAACUUGCUGCUGUGAGUAAGGAACAAGCUGGCACAACGCUUAUUUAGCAAAGGACACACCAUGAUUGCUGCUAAGCUGAAUUAGAAGUUGGAGAGAGACAGUGGAGAGAAAUUCUUAAACCUGUUACCAUGGUCAUUACUCAGCACUGUGUAUUUCACUGCCACAGAUCACCGUGCAGACAUAAUGCUCAUUAUCUGUGCAGGAGGUCGCCUUUGCAUGCUGGAGGAAAACACUGGUAUGCCUUGCUAAUUUGAUUUUAAUAACUGUGCCAUGCUAUUGUUUGGCCUAGAAAUUAGAUUGCUUUUUACUAAUAUAAUUGGCUAAUUAAAACAUCUUCUUCUCUAGGAGAUGGGGAAGAUACCUACAGUUCUUCUGUGACUUGGGACAUAAUAAAGUAAACGCGAGUCAGUUUGUAGUGCAACAGGAGCUCAUUUGGAGCACAAGGCCAGGAGUGUGCAGAAUGCAAUUUCCUUUGUGGGUUCAGCACUUCAUCUUUUUACAGAAGCCAAAACUCUGACACUUGAAAAGAUGAAAGUUGUCAACUCUCAGCUGGUGUUUCAUCCAAGGGGAAAGGCCUGUGUUGACUCAAGCCAUCUAAGAGUAUUGGCAAGCUGCCCAAGCUGUAGUGAAGGCCUUAAUUCCUAUCCCAAUGCGAU